rnacentral:rRNA from 1 species
GAUGAACGCUAGCGGCAGGCUUAAUACAUGCAAGUCGUGGGGCAGCGCAGUGUAGCAAUACAUGGGCGGCGACCGGCAAACGGGUGCGGAACACGUACGCAACCUUCCUUUAAGCGGGGGAUAGCCCAGGGAAACUUGGAUUAAUACCCCAUAAGAUUAUGGUGUGGCAUCACACAGUAAUUAAAGCUCCGGCACUUAAAGAUGGGCGUGCGGCUGAUUAGGUAGUUGGCGGAGUAACAGCCCACCAAGCCAACGAUCAGUAACUGGUGUGAGAGCACGACCAGUCACACGGGCACUGAGACACGGGCCCGACUCCUACGGGAGGCAGCAGUAAGGAAUAUUGGUCAAUGGACGCAAGUCUGAACCAGCCAUGCCGCGUGGAGG